rnacentral:rRNA from 1 species
AUUGAACGCUGGCGGAAUGCUUUACACAUGCAAGUCGAACGGCAGCACGGGGGCAACCCUGGUGGCGAGUGGCGAACGGGUGAGUAAUACAUCGGAACGUGCCCAGUCGUGGGGGAUAACUACGCGAAAGCGUAGCUAAUACCGCAUACGAUCUACGGAUGAAAGCGGGGGAUCGCAAGACCUCGCGCGAUUGGAGCGGCCGGUGGCAGAUUAGGUAGUUGGCGGGGUAAAGGCUCAGCAAGCCUGCGAUCUGUAGCUGGUCUGAGAGGACGACCAGCCACACUGGGACUGAGACACGGCCCAGGCUCCUACGGGAGGCAGCAGUGGGGAAUUUUGGACAAUGGGCGAAAGCCUGAUCCAGCCAUUCCGCGUGCAGGAUGAAGGCCCUCGGGUUGUAAACUGCUUUUGUACGGAACGAAACGCGCUGAGCUAAUACCUCGGCGUAAUGACGGUACCGUAAGAAUAAGCACCGGCUAACUACGUGCCAGCAGCCGCCGUAACAC